rnacentral:rRNA from 1 species
CGACGUGGAUAACCUGCCUCACACAGGGGAUAACAGUUAGAAAUGACUGCUAAUACCGCAUAAGCGCACGGCAUCGCAUGAUGCAGUGUGAAAAACUCCGGUGGUGUGAGAUGGAUCCGCGUCUGAUUAGGUAGUUGGUGGGGUAACGGCCCACCAAGCCGACGAUCAGUAGCCGACCUGAGAGGGUGACCGGCCACAUUGGGACUGAGACACGGCCCAA